rnacentral:rRNA from 1 species
GAGUUUGAUCCUGGCUCAGGACGAACGCUGGCGGCGCGCCUAACACAUGCAAGUCGAACGAGCGAGAGAGAGCUUGCUUUCUCGAGCGAGUGGCGAACGGGUGAGUAACGCGUGAGGAACCUGCCUCAAAGAGGGGGACAACAGUUGGAAACGACUGCUAAUACCGCAUAAGCCCACAGCUCGGCAUCGAGCAGAGGGAAAAGGAGCAAUCCGCUUUGAGAUGGCCUCGCGUCCGAUUAGCUGGUUGGUGAGGUAACGGCCCACCAAGGCGACGAUCGGUAGCCGGACUGAGAGGUUGAACGGCCACAUUGGGACUGAGACACGGCCCAGACUCCUACGGGAGGCAGCAGUGGGGAAUAUUGCACAAUGGGGGAAACCCUGAUGCAGCGACGCCGCGUGGAGGAAGAAGGUCUUCGGAUUGUAAACUCCUGUUGUUGAGGAAGAUAAUGACGGUACUCAACAAGGAAGUGACGGCUAACUACGUGCCAGCAGCCGCGGUAAAACGUAGGUCACAAGCGUUGUCCGGAAUUACUGGGUGUAAAGGGAGCGCAGGCGGGAAGGCAAGUUGGAAGUGAAAUCCAUGGGCUCAACCCAUGAACUGCUUUCAAGACUGUUUUUCUUGAGUAGUGCAGAGGUAGGCGGAAUUCCCGGUGUAGCGGUGGAAUGCGUAGAUAUCGGGAGGAACACCAGUGGCGAAGGCGGCCUACUGGGCACCAACUGACGCUGAGGCUCGAAAGUGUGGGUAGCAAACAGGAUUAGAUACCCUGGUAGUCCACACCGUAAACGAUGAUUACUAGGUGUUGGAGGAUUGACCCCUUCAGUGCCGCAGUUAACACAAUAAGUAAUCCACCUGGGGAGUACGACCGCAAGGUUGAAACUCAAAGGAAUUGACGGGGGCCCGCACAAGCAGUGGAGUAUGUGGUUUAAUUCGACGCAACGCGAAGAACCUUACCAAGUCUUGACAUCCUGCGACGGUGCUGGAAACAGUACUUUCCUUCGGGACGCAGAGACAGGUGGUGCAUGGUUGUCGUCAGCUCGUGUCGUGAGAUGUUGGGUUAAGUCCCGCAACGAGCGCAACCCUUAUGGUCAGUUACUACGCAAGAGGACUCUGGCCAGACUGCCGUUGACAAAACGGAGGAAGGUGGGGAUGACGUCAAAUCAUCAUGCCCUUUAUGACUUGGGCUACACACGUACUACAAUGGCGUUAAACAAAGAGAAGCAAGACCGCGAGGUGGAGCAAAACUCAGAAACAACGUCCCAGUUCGGACUGCAGGCUGCAACUCGCCUGCACGAAGUCGGAAUUGCUAGUAAUCGCAGAUCAGCAUGCUGCGGUGAAUACGUUCCCGGGCCUUGUACACACCGCCCGUC